CAAUAAAGUUAAAAAGUAUCGGCUAANUCCGUGCCAGCAGCCGCGGUAAGACGGGGGAUACAGGCGUUAUCCGGAAUUACUAGGCGUAAAGCGUCUGUAGGUGGUCAUAUGUGUUNUUACUUAAAUCAUGAGGCCUAACUUCAUGUAAUAUAAGAAAACUAUAAGACUAGAGUAAAUUAUGGGUAAGAGGANUUCUUCGAGGAGUAGUGAAAAGCGCAGAUACGAAGGAGAAGACCAUAAGCGAAGGCUUCUUACUUGGUUUGAUACUGACAUUGAGAGACGAAAGCUAGGGGAACGAAUGGGAUUAGAUACCCCAGUAGUCCUAGCCGUAAACGAUGGGUACUCGGUGCUGAAUAGAAUACAGCACCCUAGCUAACGCGUUAAGUAUCCCGCCUGAGAAGUACGCCCGCAAGGGUGAAACUCAAAGGAAUUGACGGGGGCUCGCACAAGCGGUGGAGCAUGUGGUUUAAUUCGAUGUAACACGAAGAACCUUACCAGAAAUUGACAUGAUAAUAUAAUAUAUUAACACAGGAGGUGCAUGGCUGUCGUCAGCUCGUGUCGUGAGGUGUUGGGUUAAGUCCCGCAACGAGCGUAACCCUUAUUUGGAGUUAAAAAAUUAUAUUCUUCUUCAAAAACUGCCUAAUUCUUAAAAAGUAAUAUAUACUUUUUGCAGGAGGAGGGCGAGGGUGACGUCAAGUCAUCAUGCCCCUUAUAUUCUGGGCUACACACGUGCUACAAUGGGUGGUACAAUAAGAAAUUAAAUCCUAUUUAUAAGAAUUGGUUAAUCACAAAAACCACUCUUAGUUCGGAUCGUGGGCUGCAACUCGUCUACGUGAAGUUGGAAUCGCUAGUAAUCGCCGGUCAGCUAUACGGCGGUGAAUAUGUCCUCGAGCCUUGUACACACCGCCCGUCACGCCACAGAAAUAGAUAUGUCCUUAAAUAUCUGUUAAGUGAAUACGGAAAAGAUCUAUAACUAGGGUGAAGUCGUAACAAGGUAACC
rnacentral:rRNA from 1 species